rnacentral:rRNA from 1 species
UGGGGAAUAUUGCACAAUGGGGGAAACCCUGAUGCAGCGACGCCGCGUGAACGAAGAAGGUAUUCGUAUCGUAAAGUUCUGUCCUAUGGGAAGAUAAUGACAGUACCAUAGAAGAAAGCUCCGGCUAAAUACGUGCCAGCAGCCGCGGUAAUACGUAUGGAGCGAGCGUUGUCCGGAAUUAUUGGGCGUAAAGGGUACGCAGGCGGUUUAAUAAGUCGAAUGUUAAAGAUCGGGGGUCAACCCCGCAAAGCAUUGGAAACUGAUAAACUUGAGUAGUGGAGAGGAAAGUGGAAUUCCUAGUGUAGUGGUGAAAUACGUAGAUAUUAGGAGGAAUACCAGUAGCGAAGGCGACUUUCUGGACACAAACUGACGCUGAGGUACGAAAGCGUGAGGAGCAAGCAGG